rnacentral:rRNA from 1 species
AUCCCUACGGGGCGCAGCAGUGGGGAAUAUUGGGCAAUGGGCGCAAGCCUGACCCAGCAACGCCGCGUGAAGGAAGAAGGCUUUCGGGUUGUAAACUUCUUUUCUCAGGGACGAAGCAAGUGACGGUACCUGAGGAAUAAGCCACGGCUAACUACGUGCCAGCAGCCGCGGUAAUACGUAGGUGGCAAGCGUUAUCCGGAUUUACUGGGUGUAAAGGGCGUGUAGGCGGGAAAGCAAGUCAGAUGUGAAAACCACGGGCUCAACCUGUGGCCUGCAUUUGAAACUGUAUUUCUUGAGGACUGGAG